CACGUAGGGUGCAAGCGUUGUCCGGAUUCAUUGGGCGUAAAGGGCUAGUAGGCGGCUUAGCAAGUCGGGUGUGAAAACUUCAGGCUCAACCUGGAGCGGCCAUCCGAUACUGCUAUGGCUAGAGUCCGGUAGGGGACCACGGAAUUCCUGGUGUAGCGGUGGAAUGCGCAGAUAUCAGGAGGAACACCGGUGGCGAAGGCGGCUGCCUGGUCCUACAUUGACGCUGAGAUACGAAAGCGUGGGGAGCAAACAGG
rnacentral:rRNA from 1 species